ACUGUGAUGAGGAUAUGCGAAGCAAAAUCUGGUCUGCCAAAAAACCUUGGUGUCGGUUCGGUUGAGGUGAACUCUGGCGCGGUUUGAGUGCAUAUGUGAACGGCAAGCGGACCAGAGAUCACACUAAAAAGCAGCAAGCGGACUACAGCGCAAGGCAUUCUGGGUAAAUACAA